AUUCAGUGGCACAAUGGGUCAGUGCACCUUGCUGUUAACCAGAAGGUUGGUGGUUCAAGCCCACCCGGGGAUG